AGCGAACGCUGGCGGCAGGCCUAACACAUGCAAGUCGAACGAAGUCUUCGGACUUAGUGGCGGACGGGUGAGUAACACGUGGGAACGUACCUUUUGGUUCGGAACAACUCAGGGAAACUUGGGCUAAUACCGGAUGAGCCCUUAGGGGGAAAGAUUUAUCGCCGAAAGAGCGGCCCGCGUUAGAUUAGCUAGUUGGUGAGGUAAAGGCUCACCAAGGCUACGAUCUAUAGCUGGUCUGAGAGGAUGAACAGCCACACUGGGACUGAGACACGGCCCAGACUCCUACGGGAGGCAGCAGUGGGGAAUCUUGCGCAAUGGGCGAAAGCCUGACGCAGCCAUGCCGCGUAAAUGAUGAAGGUCUUAGGAUUGUAAAAUUCUUUUACCAGGGACGAUAAUGACGGUACCUGGAGAAAAAGCCCCGGCUAACUUCGUGCCAGCCGCCGCCGUAA
rnacentral:rRNA from 1 species